GUCCUCACUACGGUGGCACAUAUACUAAAAUUGGAACGAUACAGAGAAGAUUAGCAUGGCCCCUGGCGCAAGGAUGACACACACAUUCGUGAAGCGUUCCAUGUUUCU
rnacentral:snRNA from 1 species